CUGUGUGUUCCUAAAAAGCAAGGAGGAAUGGGAUUUCGUGAUAUCCACUAUUUUAAUUUGGCGUUACUCACCAAACAGGCAUGGUGUUUGUUGGAUAAUCCUGAUUCCUUGUGCGCUUCUAUCCUACGGGCAAAUUAUUACCCCCAUGGUUAUCUAUUAAAUGCGAAGUUAAAGAAAGGCUCUUCCUUUACAUGGAAAAGUAUCAUGGCUGGCACAAAUACAUGA
rnacentral:rRNA from 1 species